rnacentral:rRNA from 1 species
GGGAAACCCAGUGUGAUUCGUCACACUAUCAUUAACUGAAUCCAUAGGUUAAUGAGGCGAACCGGGGGAACUGAAACAUCUAAGUACCCCGAGGAAAAGAAAUCAACCGAGAUUCCCCCAGUAGCGGCGAGCGAACGGGGAGCAGCCCAGAGCCUGAAUCAGUGUGUGUGUUAGUGGAAGCGUCUGGAAAGGCGCGCGAUACAGGGUGACAGCCCCGUACACAAAAAUGCACAUGCUGUGAGCUCGAUGAGUAGGGCGGGACACGUGGUAUCCUGUCUGAAUAUGGGGGGACCAUCCUCCAAGGCUAAAUACUCCUGACUGACCGAUAGUGAACCAGUACCGUGAGGGAAAGGCGAAAAGAACCCCGGCGAGGGGAGUGAAAAAGAACCUGAAACCGUGUACGUACAAGCAGUGGGAGCACGCUUCGGCGUGUGACUGCGUACCUUUUGUAUAAUGGGUCAGCGACUUAUAUUCUGUAGCAAGGUUAACCGAAUAGGGGAGCCGAAGGGAAACCGAGUCUUAACUGGGCGUUAAGUUGCAGGGUAUAGACCCGAAACCCGGUGAUCUAGCCAUGGGCAGGUUGAAGGUUGGGUAACACUAACUGGAGGACCGAACCGACUAAUGUUGAAAAAUUAGCGGAUGACUUGUGGCUGGGGGUGAAAGGCCAAUCAAACCGGGAGAU